UUUGCGGUAGUGCGGUACGUGGUGAGGUACUUUUUUGUGAUGCGGUACUACCGCACUACCGCACUAAGUACCGCACUUGCCCACCUCUGGAUAUUGAUAAUAAUGCGCAGGGCACCUGUGCAGGUGCAUAACACGCAUGUUUGUAUUUCCUCGUGUAGGGAGGGUACCUGCUGGCGAUGAUGAGUCCACCUCGUGAUCAGGCCGUGGGUGAGUUACUCGUGGGCGAAGAGGACAGCGUCCUCCUCUUCGCCUUUACCUCGGCGGCCGUUGUAAAGGCGUAUAGUACAAUCACCAUCAUCAGCCGGAUGGGCCGCGGCCGGCGGGGUUGGACAGUUUUUCAUUCUUCCCUCCCGCGUCCCGCCCACCACACGCUUCCACGAGCCGCCGACGAGGACCAGCAGAUUUCCUAUUUUCCAGUAUAUACUAUUGAUUCUUACGGCUGAAGAACCUUGUGAUGGCAUUAAUGCAGUCCUCGGAAACCCAGCGUUCCACAAGGCGAUCGCACUCUGCAUCGUUUACCUGAAAUAUUAUAAUAUUGGGAGAUCAUCCUCUGCAUAACCUAUAGUCAGACACAAAUAUGAAGUCUGUUUGGGUGAGGUCUGAGCCUCUCCACACCCCUGCUGCAUCACCCCCAGUACAUCACUCAUAUAUGUCAGCUGUGUACUAUUUGAAUUUGUGGAACUGAUAUUCUGUAUACAUUAAAUAAGGCUAUAUAGUGCAAGGAAUGUGUCACUUUUUAGAAUAUUAGUAAUUAAUUGUAUUAAUAAAUUGUAUAAAUUCUAUAACAAGUGACAAUGUUGCUCUCUGAUGU